rnacentral:rRNA from 1 species
CGUGUAGGCGGCUUGAUAAGUCCGGUGUGAAAUCUUGGGGCUCAACCCCAAGCCUGCAUCGGAUACUGUCUCGCUCGAGUUCGGGAGGGGAGAGCGGAAUUCCUAGUGUAGCGGUGAAAUGCGCAGAUAUUAGGAAGAACACCAGUGGCGAAGGCGGCUCUCUGGAACGAUACUGACGCUGAGACGCGAAAGCGUGGGAGCGAACA